UACGAAGGGGGCUAGCGUUGCUCGGAAUGACUGGGCGUAAAGGGCUCGUAGGCGGCCCACUAAGUCCGACGUGAAAUCCCCAGGCUUAACUUGGGAACUGCGUCGGAUACUGGUGGGCUUGAAUCCGGGAGAGGGAUGCGGAAUUCCAGGUGUAGCGGUGAAAUGCGCAGAUAUCGGGAGGAACACCGGUGGCGAAGGCGGUUCUCUGGGCCUUACCUGACGCUGAGGAGCGAAAGCGUGGGGAGCGAACAGG
rnacentral:rRNA from 1 species